rnacentral:siRNA from 1 species
GAAACAGCGAUUCCGAAAUGCCA